rnacentral:lncRNA from 1 species
AUCUGGUGUGUUUUCCUAAGUCUGAACGACAAAAUCUCCCAAGAUCAGACACCCAGUCCCUGGAUUUCCCUCUAACCCUCAUCUAGGGUAGCCUUCAGGAGGCUUGUGGAUAGAAAGACACAGAGGACAGCAAGACAGUCAUCAGUCCUAAUGCUGCCAGCAGAGGACACAAAAGUCUAAAGCUGUUUGCUAAAAACUUUUCCUGGUACUAAAAUUGCCUUUAAAAAAAUCUGCCCCCCUCCAUCCCCCCAAAGAAAAAGAAUUUAAAUUCAAACAGCCUUUACCUGCAUCCUCCCUCUCUCAUUACCUCCCAGUUAGUGCUCAACGCCAAUUGCCCAUGAAAUUCCACUGCUGCUGUUAAUGAAAUGAGGAACAUAAGAAGUUUGUGAACAGGAAGGAAGUGUCCAUGCAAAGCUCCACCUGUUUGCUGCUUCACUCCAUACUUAGUACCACUGGCCUUUGCUGCCUCCAUGUACUCUACAGCUUCUAUACUGGUUCCAGUUCUCUCCACUUCCUCCCCCAGUUAUAGGGGAAGACAUGAGGAAAAGCCCUGCAGUGAACACGUGCUGCGAGGCCUCCCUCCUUCCUAAUUGCACGUUGGAGAAAGUACCAGGUUCAGUCCAGAGACCUGCUUUAGUCUUAGUUCCAACACUGUCUACCCAAGGGACCUUGAACUUAACUUCUCAGACUUCUAUUUCAUUUAUUUAAAUAUUUAAAUAAAUAUUUACUCUUACCUAUUUCACAGUUAUGAGAUCAAAAUGAAGAAAUGUAUUCAAUAGCAUUUUGAAAAGUAACUAUAGAUCAAAAAAUAAACACAAGACCUGCCUGCUAUUAACAGAUGGAUUCCAGGC